UUGGGGUGAGGUAGUAGGUUGUAUAGUUUGGGGGUCGCUCCCUCUGUCUGUGAGAUAACUAUACAGUCUACUGUCUUUCCCGA
rfam:Sarcophilus harrisii ctg7180001581125, whole genome shotgun sequence.